ACGGGUGAGUAACGCGUAGGAAUCUACCUUGUAGUGGGGGAUAACUUGGGGAAACCCAAGCUAAUACCGCAUGAGCCCUAAGGGGGAAAGCAGGGGACCGAAAGGCCUUGUGCUAUGAGAUGAGCCUGCGUCGGAUUAGCUAGUUGGUGGGGUAAAGGCCUACCAAGGCGAUGAUCCGUAGCUGGUCUGAGAGGACGACCAGCCACACUGGGACUGAGACACGGCCCAGACUCCUACGGGAGGCAGCAGUGGGGAAUAUUGGACAAUGGGCGCAAGCCUGAUCCAGCAAUGCCGCGUGUGUGAAGAAGGCCUGCGGGUUGUAAAGCACUUUCAGUGGGGAAGAAGGCCUUGGAGUUAAUAACUCUGAGGAUUGACAUUACCCACAGAAGAAGCACCGGCUAACUCUGUGCCAGCAGCCGCGG
rnacentral:rRNA from 1 species